GGGGAAGUGGCCAGCGCGCCUUUUAGGUCGCAAAACGCGAUCUAAGAGGAAGUGCGCGCGCGCGCGUGUGUGAAUCCUUUUUCUCCUCCCUCCCUCCCCCUCACUAACCUCCCCCACCCCGCAAAAGUGACCGGUGGGUUUGUUUGAAUCCGGUAAAGAGAGAGGCACAAAAUGCCUCCCCAUCUGCGCGGGAAACGUGCCUCGGCGGCUGGAACAGCUAGUGCCUUCUCCCCGCCUGGGCUGUCUGGCGAGCGACGGAUUGAAAACUCCUUUCUCGCCUUUUCAGCGAAGCCCCGGCAGGAAGAAGAUCUUGGUGAACUUUGAGGCGUCGCGGUGCCCCCUCCGCUUUCUCUUGCACGGAUCCUGUGAGAAGAGGAGGAGGCUGCCUUUUCCAGGCUCUGACAGAUUUAGAUUGGGCUACUUCCUGAGGAAUUCUGUGUCAUUGGUGG
rnacentral:lncRNA from 1 species